rnacentral:rRNA from 1 species
AUUGAACGCUGGCGGCAGGCCUAACACAUGCAAGUCGAACGAGUGGCGGACGGGUGAGUAAUGUCUGGGAAACUGCCUGAUGGAGGGGGAUAACUACUGGAAACGGUAGCUAAUACCGCAUACCAUCGGAUGUGCCCAGAUGGGAUUUGCUAGUAGGUGUGGUAACGGCUAACCUAGGCGCAGAUCCCUAGCUGGUCUGAGAGGAUGACCAUCCACACUGGAACUGAGACACUGUCCAGACUCCCACGGGAGGCAGCAGUGGGGAAUAUUGCACAAUGGGCGCAAGCCUGAUGCAGCCAUGCCGCGUGUAUGAAGAAGGCCUUCUGGUUGUAAAGUACUUUCAGCGGGGAGGCGUUACCCGCAGAAGAAGCACCGGCUAACUCCGUGCCAGCAGCCGCGGUAAUAC